UUCAUCAUACCUGGUGGUGUCUGCCACUGUUGGGUCGCUGUGGAUGUUCCUACGGUCAUUCAUAAGUCAGCGUGAUUUGUUCAUUUUGUUUGAAACCCUUCUCCCAUGCCAAAAGGAGAAGUGAUGACAUUGUUGACAACAUUUAAUACAAUGAUGUUUUCAUUCAAUUAAUGCAUUGCUAAACAUUUGUUUUUCCAUUUGUUUUCACUUUUUGCUUUUGCAUGAAAUCAGUGAUCACAAAAAACCUGAAAAACAAAAACAGCUUUUUCAUCUGCA
rnacentral:lncRNA from 1 species